rnacentral:rRNA from 1 species
ACGGGAGGCAGCAGUGGGGAAUAUUGGACAAUGGGCGCAAGCCUGAUCCAGCCAUGCCGCGUGAGUGAAGAAGGCCUUCGGGUUGUAAAGCUCUUUUGUCCGGAAAGAAAAGCCUUCGGUUAAUACCCGGGGGUGAUGACGGUACCGGAAGAAUAAGCACCGGCUAACUUCGUGCCAGCAGCCGCGGUAAUACGAAGGGUGCAAGCGUUACUCGGAAUUACUGGGCGUAAAGCGUGCGUAGGUGGUUCGUUAAGUCUGAUGUGAAAGCCCUGGGCUCAACCUGGGAAUGGCAUUGGAUACUGGCGACCUAGAGUGCGGUAGAGGGGUGUGGAAUUCCCGGUGUAGCAGUGAAAUGCGUAGAUAUCGGGAGGAACAUCUGUGGCGAAGGCGACACCCUGGACCAGCACUGACACUGAGGCACGAAAGCGUGGGGAGCAAACAGGAUUAGAUACCCUGGUA